UGAGGAAUAUUGGUCAAUGGGCGAGAGCCUGAACCAGCCAAGUAGCGUGCAGGAUGACGGCCCUAUGGGUUGUAAACUGCUUUUAUGUGGGGAUAAAGUGCGUGACGUGUCAUGCAUUGCAGGUACCACAUGAAUAAGGACCGGCUAAUUCCGUGCCAGCAGCCGCGGUAAUACGGAAGGUCCGGGCGUUAUCCGGAUUUAUUGGGUUCAAAGGGAGCGUAGGCUGUCUAUUAAGCGUGUUGUGAAAUUUACCGGCUCAACCGGUGGCUUGCAGCGCGAACUGGUCGACUUGAGUAUGCAGGAAGUAGGCGGAAUUCAUGGUGUAGCGGUGAAAUGCUUAGAUAUCAUGACGAACUCCGAUUGCGCAGACAGCUUACUGUAGCAUAACUGACGCUGAUGCUCGAAAGUGCGGGUAUCAAACAGG
rnacentral:rRNA from 1 species